rfam:Salmo salar isolate Sally breed double haploid chromosome ssa15, whole genome shotgun sequence.
GGCUCAGUUGGUAGAGCAUGGUGUGUGCAACGCCAGGGUUGUGGGUUAGAUUCCCAC